AUGUUUGCGCCGAGGAAGGUGGAGGACGAGAUGGCGCUGGGCAGGCAGAGGACGGUCAGGUUCUAUGAUGAGAGGGCAAAGCCAGCGAUACCGAUCCAACAGAAACAGGCAGCGUUCGCUGCUAGUAAACUCGGCGUCGCGAGCUCAGGGAAGAACAAGAUUUUUGUGGGAGGGGAUGCGCAGCAGUACAAGAUUUUCGAUCCGUCAAGUGACUUCAUCUUGAUGUGGAACCGCAUUUUCCUUUUUUCGUCCUUCCUUGCUCUAUUUAUAGACCCCCUGUACUUUUACGUGCCCAAAAUCGUCUAUGGCGACACCUAUUCCUGUGUUGGGACAGACAGACAUUUAACCAUCAUCAUUACAUUCUUCCGAUCAAUUGCCGAUCUCUUGUAUGUGGUUCACAUCAUAAUGAAGUUCAGAACUGCUUUUGUUAAAACGAGCUCAACCUUGCGGGUUUUUGGAAGAGGAGACCUUGUCACAGACCCUAAAGAGAUUGCAUGGAAGUAUUUGAGAUCUGACUUUGCAAUUGAUGUGGUGGCUGCAUUGCCUUUGCCGCAGAUCAUAGUCUGGUAUGUGAUACCAGCUAUCAAGUAUUCUGGUGCUGAGCAUAACAAUAACAUUCUGGUGCUUAUAGUUCUUGCUCAGUAUCUUCCAAGACUAUAUCUCAUAUUCCCUUUAACUUAUGAAAUUGUCAAAGCUACUGGAGUUGUCGCAAAGACUGCCUGGGAAGGGGCUGUAUACAACCUGCUACUUUACUUGAUAGCUAGUCAUGUUCUAGGUGCACUAUGGUACUUGCUAUCUGUUGAUCGCCAAACAGCCUGCUGGAAAAUGAAUUGCAGGAAUGGAAGUGAUUGUAAUAUUAGGUACCUAGACUGUGAUACACCAAAUCAGACAUGGGCUAGUACGACUGAUCUCUUCAGCCGCUGCAAUGCUAGCAAUGACACCAUCACCUUCGACUAUGGCAUGUUUCAGCCUGCUCUGUCAAAUCAAGCGCCUGCUCAGGGUUUCUUGAGAAAGUUCUUCUAUUCCCUUUGGUGGGGUUUACAGAAUCUAAGUUGCUACGGCCAGACUCUUUCUGUGAGCACCUACAUUGGUGAGACACUGUACUGUAUAUUCUUGGCAGUACUCGGUCUUGUCUUGUUUGCGCAUUUGAUUGGAAAUGUGCAGACCUACCUGCAAUCUAUCACUGUGAGGGUUGAGGAGUGGAGAUUAAAGCAAAGAGAUACUGAGGAGUGGAUGAGACAUCGUCAACUUCCUGAUGAACUGCGGGAAAGAGUUAGACGAUUUAUCCAGUACAAGUGGCUUGCAACUCGAGGUGUGAAUGAAGAGUCUAUAUUACAGGUUCUACCAGCGGAUCUACGGCGUGACAUUAAACGCCACCUUUGCUUGGAUCUUGUUCGCCGGGUACCCUUUUUCUCCCAGAUGGACGACCAACUUCUAGAUGCCAUAUGUGUGCGUCUUGUAUCAUCACUGUGUACAAAGGGCACAUACAUUGUCCGUGAGGGUGAUCCCGUGGCCGAGAUGCUUUUCAUCAUCCGCGGGAAACUGGAGAGCUCCACAACAAAUGGUGGCCGCACAGGCUUCUUCAAUUCAACUACGCUGAAAGCUGGUGAUUUCUGCGGUGAGGAACUUCUUGGAUGGGCUCUUGUCCCGAAGCCUACCGCCAGUUUGCCGUCAUCCACUCGCACAGUGAGGGCACAAAUAGAAGUGGAGGCCUUUUCACUCCAGGCUGAGGAUCUCAAGUUUGUGGCCAGUCAAUUUAGGCGGUUGCACAGCAAGAAGUUGCAGCACACUUUCCGAUACUACUCACACCAUUGGAGAACCUGGGGCGCGUGCUUCAUCCAAGCUGCCUGGCGGCGCUACAGGAGGAGGAAGAUGGCGAAGGACCUGAGUAUGAGGGAGUCAUUCCAUUCCAUGAGAUCAGAAGACUCGGAUGGUGAAGAUGACCCUCCACCAAAGAAGAAUAUCUCUCUAAGAAUGAUGGCCGGGAAAGUCAUGGCUGGGAACAGGAAAGGGCUUCAGGCCAUAAAAGAGUUGCCGACACUAAAGAAGCCGGACGAGCCAGAUUUCUCGCUCGAACCCUACGAGUAA
rnacentral:rRNA from 1 species